rnacentral:rRNA from 1 species
GACGAACCGUGCAAACGUUGUUCGGAAUCACUGGGCUUAAAGGGCGCGUAGGCGGGCCAGCCAGUCUGUGGUGAAAGCCUCCAGCUUAACUGGAGAAGUGCCGUGGAUACUGCUGGCCUCGAGGAGGAUAGGGGCAUCUGGAACGGUCGGUGGAGCGGUGAAAUGCGUUGAUAUCGACCGGAACUCCGGUGGCGAAGGCGAGGUGCUGGGUCCCUUCUGACGCUGAUGCGCGAAAGCCAGGGGAGCAAACGGG